rnacentral:rRNA from 1 species
UGGGGAAUAUUGCGCAAUGGGGGAAACCCUGACGCAGCGACGCCGCGUGCGGGAUGAAGGCCUUCGGGUUGUAAACCGCUUUUGAUUGGGAGCAAGCCUUUUGGGUGAGUGUACCUUUCGAAUAAGCGCCGGCUAACUACGUGCCAGCAGCCGCGGUAAUACGUAGGGCGCAAGCGUUAUCCGGAAUUAUUGGGCGUAAAGAGCUUGUAGGCGGUUCGUCGCGUCUGGUGUGAAAGCCCAUCGCUUAACGGUGGGUUUGCACCGAGUACGGGCGGGCUAGAGUGCAGUAGGGGAGACUGGAAUUACCGGUGUAACGGUGGAAUGUGUAGAUAUCGGGAAGAACACCAAUGGCGAAGGCAGGUCUCUGGGCUGUUACUGACGCUGAGAAGCGAAAGCGUGGGGAGCGAACAGG